CAGAGGGGGGGGAGGCCCUGGCGCUGCAGGACGUGGAGGCAUUUCUGGCUUCCUCAGGGGGGCUUGGGCUGGUGGGCUCGAAGGCAUUUGGUGAGGAAGAGGAGAGGAAAGCUCGAUAGCUGACAAGGCCCUAAAAGAGUUGGGCUCCGCCCCCCGGGAUGACGUCACUCUCGAGGUGGCUGCCGCUGUCACGUGCGCCCACUUCUGGGGGGCCUUUCCUCCUGCUCCGAUAGCCCGGACGUUCCUCCAGACUGCCCCCCCCUUGGGUCACCACAGGCACACGAGUCACUCAAAGUCAUCGACGCCAACAAGUGUCAGUUAUUCCUCUCCUGCUUCUCAGUGGUAAUGUGGUUUAAUAAUAAUUCACCAAAUGAAAACCUUUAAACCCAUUUUCCUGGCAAUUGGAAAACCACUGUAAUCAUCCAGUUUUAGCAGCAGAUCUCUUUAUUGGAUUUUUGCUGAUAGCUGAAGCCCACAUGGUCUCUUGCUCCAAUAAAGCACUUUGCAACUCAUUUCUUUUGACUGACCUUUUCCAGAUCGUGUAUUCACAUUGCACUGGAAACCUAGGACCUUGUAUAGAAAGCAAGACUCCAGAGUUAUAUUCCACCUGCCCCCCACCAAGGCUUUAGGUUUAAGGUGUUGGAAAGUCAUCCAAGUAGAAAACAGCACUAACAGGCUAGAGCUUGGAAUUGACAAAACAAAUUCAAGGACAGAAACUAUAGCAUGACUCAAGAGGAAGUGCUCAACCGACUGCCGUCGGGUCUCUAUUCAAAACUGUACAGGGUCUCCAGAAAGUCUAGAUUGACCUUUGAACUCUCGAUCUCCCUGACUCCACCUCCUAAGAAGUUUUGAUUAGAGAUGUGCAACAGCAUGCCCGCCUUGUUCCAGGACUCUAAGUGGCUGGAUAGUACUCUGUAAGACACUUUCAUCUGUCUGUGCUGGUUUGCACUUUGAAAUAAUAUGAGCAGUGGCACUGUGAACAUCAGUGCACAUGUUUCGUCUACUAAUCCUACUCAACGAAAGACUCGGCCAGCAGUGACCACAGAGACUGAUGAUACUGACUUCUCCAGGAGAAAAAGACUACAGCGAAUUCCUCAUUGCUCCGUCUUCUCAACUCAGAUUGUGUGCACUCAUUCAUGUCCUGCAAAUUCAAUGAACCUGGGUUUUGUGUUGUUUGGGAUCAGGGACCCUGUGUUAUGAUUUAUCAUUAUUGUUAACAAUAUCCCCUGUCUUGGACCCUUCAGGCUGCUGUAAUAAAAUACCAUGAAGUAAGUGCCUUAUAAACAACCUGAGCUCCUUGCUCACAGGUCUAGAGGCUGGGAAGUCCAAGAUCAAGGCAGUAGCAAACGAUAGCACAGAUGAGGAGGGCCAGCUUCCAGGUUCAGGAUGGCAUCAUCUCCCUGACUUCUCACACAGGGGACAGCGGUGCAAGUCUGGGAGGAUCUUUUAUAAGGCCAUUAAUCCUGUUCAUGAUGGCUCUGCCUUCACAAACUAACCACCUCAUAAAGGCCCCAAUGUAUUAGACUAUGGUUUAAAUACAUUUGAAAAUAUGCCAUAAUAUCAAAGAAAAUGACAGAGGUGGUCCAGGAACAUAGCGUCAGACUGUUGUCUACUAAGUCAAAGGUUACUUCUGCUAUAAUUGCUACUUAAAUUACUUGCAGCUAUGGAAAGUAUGUAGCUGGUGAUAACUCAGUGGCAGAGAAUGUGUCCAAUAUACACAUCCAAGUUUGAUCUCCAGUACUUUCAAAAUAAAAAAGUAGGGAUACAUUAUAACAACAAUAUUCAAAAGGCACUAUUGUGUGAGAGAACAAAUUAUAGAGGUCUGUAUUACAUUGAUUUUCUAACAUUAUUAUAAGAAAUAAGCGCAAAAUUAGUGGCUUAAACAAUACAAAUUUAUCAUACUUCAGAUUAUAAUUUAGUGUAAGUCUCACCAGGCUAAAAACGUCAGGACUGCAUUCCUUUCUGGAGGAUUCCUGCUUUACACAGCUGGUAGCAUGAUUUGGUACUAUAUAGUUGUACUGCAAGUCUCUGCUCCUUGCCUAAUCUCUCCUUUCAGCUAGGGAGGUCUCCCUUAACCCUAGCAGCCCCUCCCUGCUCCUUGCAUGUAACCCCUGAUAAUUCAAAACCAACAACCACCUAUCAAAAUGUUCUCAUCCUGCAUCUCUUUGAGCAUCCAUCAGAGUUCACAGCUGAGAAGGCUUCCUCACGUUUAAGAAUCUUUUUCACUAGACUGGCCCUACCCAGUUCACCUAAGCAGGGUAAGGGAGGAGAACUCGGAAUGACUAAGAAGAGGAAGGCCUUCCUUUUGGCAGUAAAAAAGCAUUGUGGUUGUGUAGUGGUGAUGUGGUUGUGUAGUGGUGAUGCCUGUAUAACCGUGGAGACCCUGAAGCCCACAGGCCAGAAUAAAAUUAUGCAAUUAACAUGUG